UUGACAUUGAGACAUUAACAAAGUAGCAGAUUCCAGGCAGAAUUAGUAUGGCAGCGCAGAUGUCCCAGUUAUCAUGCGCUCUCGUUGCGAUUGCUCUCUUUGCUCUCUGCCAAUGCACAGUGUCACGACAUCAGGUUGAUUUCUUGCAAUCCAAGUCACUUAAGGCGAGGGAAGAAAUCGAAAGAGCCAGUCCUUCCAGUGGCCAUCAGCUCCGAGACACCUCGUCAGGGUCCCCAAAAUCAAUGGCUGCGAAAAUAGUGAUUUCACAGUGCAGCAGGAGUAUAUAUAUAACGAAGUUCUGUUGCGAUUCAGAUCCGUCCCUCAAGUGCUUCAAAACUGAAGAGGAGUGUUUGCAAAAAUGUCCACCCUUCAGGCCCCCAUCGGCUCGGGGUACAUAACUAAGGUCAUUUGCCCUUAAAGACUCGCGGGAAUAAAACUGAUCCUGUGAAUCCCAUAGUGAUUUUCUCGAUUGAGUAAUCAAUCUAGCGGGGCAGUUAAAAAACCUGUUCAACUCAUCAUUAAGCAA